rnacentral:rRNA from 1 species
AGUGAACGCUGGCGGCGUGCCUAAUACAUGCAAGUCGAACGGAGUGGCGCACGGGUGAGUAAUAUAUAGCUAAUCUGCCCCUUGCUGGAGGACAACAGUUAGAAAUGACUGCUAAUACUCCAUAGCAAGGGAUGAGACUAUAUCGUAUCAGCUAGUCGGUGGGGUAACGGCCUACCGAGUCUAUGACGCGUAACUGGUCUGAGAGGAUGAGCAGGAACAUUGGAACGGAGACACGGGCCAAAAUCCUACGGGAGGCAGCAGGAGGGAAUAUGGCGCAAUGGGGGAAAGCCUGACGGAGCAACGCAGCGUGGAGGAUGACACUUUUCGGAGCGUAAAGUCGUUUUGUUAGGGAAGCGGUACCUAACGAAUAAGCACCGGCUAACUCCGUGCCAGCAGCCGCGGUAAUAC